rnacentral:rRNA from 1 species
GAUGAACGCUGGCGGCGUGCUUAACACAUGCAAGUCGAACGAAGCGUAUUCAAGCGAAGUUUUCGGACAAAGCGAGGAUAUGACUUAGUGGCGGACGGGUGAGUAACGCGUGGGCAACCUGCCUUUCACAGCGGGAUAACAGAGGGAAGCUUCUGCUAAUACCGCAUAUACCUUUAUAACGCAUGUUAGGGAGGGGAAAGAAUUAUCGGUGAGAGAUGGGCCCGCGUCCGAUUAGAUAGUUGGUGGGGUAACAGCCUACCAAGUCAACGAUCGGUAGCCGGCUUGAGAGAGUGAACGGCCACAUUGGGACUGAGACACGGCCCAAACUCCUACGGGAGGCAGCAGUGGGGGAUAUUGGACAAUGGGGGCAACCCUGAUCCAGCGACGCCGCGUGAGUGAAGAAGUAUUUCGGUACGUAAAGCUCUAUCAGCAGGGAAGAAAGAAGACGGUACCUGACUAAGAAGCCCCGGCUAACUACGUGCCAGCAGCCGCGGUAAUACGUAGGGGGCAAGCGUUAUCCGGAAUUACUGGGUGUAAAGGGAGCGUAGACGGUUAAACAAGUCUGAAGUGAAAUGCCGGGGCUCAACCUCGGAGCUGCUUUGGAAACUGUAGAACUGGAGUGUCGGAGGGGUAAGCGGAAUUCCCAGUGUAGCGGUGAAAUGCGUAGAUAUUGGGAGGAACACCGGCGGCGAAGGCGGCUUACUGGACGACAACUGACGUUGAGGCUCGAAGGCGUGGGUAGCAAACAGG